rnacentral:sRNA from 25 species
GUCAGUAACCCAGCCCUAAAGGGACUGGGCUUGUAAGAGAAAUCAAGCAAGCCGUACUGACCAGACCUCCCUGAGUUUACUCUCAUGGUAGCCGUUAUUUGAGUCACGACACCCCGGAAUGCGAAGCCCCUUCGGGGUUCAGCA